rnacentral:misc_RNA from 1 species
CCUUUAGAGCUGAAAGCAUAGAAAUGAAGGCGUACUAAGUAUGUUCCAUUAUCAGUGAUUAUGAACUCAUAAGGUGAUGGCUGCCUGUAAAUUCUUGCAGUCUGAUACAGAGGUGAAGUGUGCAGGCACUGAAUCGUUGCUAACAGAACCACCGUUUCCUGCAGAGAAGGAAACAGAAUUUUCAUCACCAACAAAUGUCCGGACAUCAUUAAGACUAAAAGCGGACCCUGAUCCACAGUUUAUGCAGUAAUUAGUUGCUAUAGUGUGUGAGUAGACGAUGAAAGAAGUAAAAGAGAAAGGAAUUU